rnacentral:lncRNA from 1 species
AGGUGGAGGUCACCGUCGGCUCCGCCCGGGACCUCAAGAACGUCAACUGGCGCAACGGCGACCUCAAGCCCUACGCCGUGGUGUGGAUCGACUCCGGCAGCAAGUGCUCGACCCGCGUCGACCUCGACAACGGCGAGAGCCCGGCGUGGGACGAGAAGCUGCUCGUCCCGCUCCCGCCCACCUCCCGCCUCGACGACGCCGUCCUCUACGUCGACGUCGUCCACGCCAACGCCGCCCAGGGCGUCAAGCCGCUCGUCGGCUCCGCGCGCCUCCCGCUCCGCGACGUCCUCGACGACGCCGGGGUCGGGGGCAAGGCCUCGCGCAGCCUCCGCCUCAAGCGCCCCUCGGGCCGCCCCCACGGCCGCCUCGACGUCCGCGUCGCCGUCAAGGAGCCGUCCAGGUACUACGACCCCAACCCCUACCCGGCCCCCGCGGCCUACGCCAACACGGGCGGCGGCACCCGUGACCCCUACGGCUCGUCCGCUGCUGCUGCCGGCGGCUACUACGGCUCCGGAGGCGGAUACGGUUCCGGUGGUGGCGCCUACGGUGGCGGCGCCUACGGCGCCGCGCAGCCCUACACCGCAGCGCCCCCGGCGGGGUACCCUUCCACCUACGGCGCCGCGCCGCCGCCUCAGCCAGCGGCAGCGUACGGCGCUCCUCCUGCCGCUGCAUACGGCGCUCCUCCUGUCGCCGCCACCGCCGCGUACGGAACCGGCGCCGUUGCUUCCGACGGGAAGAAGAAGAACAAGAUGGGGAUGGGGACGGGGCUGGCAGUGGGCGCGGCGGCGGGCGUGCUCGGAGGGCUGGCGCUGGCCGGCGGGGCGAGCUACCUGGAGGACAAGUUCGAGGAGCGCGUGUCGGAGCGGGUGGAGGACAACCUGGAGAGGGAGGAGUCGUACGGCGGCGGCGGCGGCGGCUACGGGGGUGGCUACGACGACUAUGGCGGCAACGACGACUAUGGCGGCGACGACGACUACUGAUGGGUCCUGAUCCUCCGAUCGUUUGCCCGGCUGCUACGCUUGCCAUCCACCUCCACCUUCGUCUCGCUGUCCUAGAUGUUUGCUGUAUGAAUCGCAUAGUAGAUCAUGUUCUCUAUUCCUGCCUUCAGUUUCUUUUCUCAGUUGUGGUUUAUCGCGGCGGGGUUGAUGUUGAGAUUUGAGAUCCUCACCUGAGGAAUGGAAAAAUGCUCACCUGAGGAAUGGAAAAAUGGUAAGGGCUUGUUCGGUUAUUCCUAUCCCAUGUGGAUUGGAUGGGAUUGGAAAAAAUUAUGAAAGAUUUUAACUUGUUUGAGAUUGAAAUCCAUCCAAUCCCACCUAAUCCACAUGAAUUAAGAGCAAAACGAAUAUGCCCUAAAUUGAUUAAUUCGGUUGCUACUCCUUCGUCUUGGCAAGUUUAGGAUGUAUCAAUUUGUGCGAAUAGUUGAUGUUACCAAAGGUUCCACGCUAGGGAGACACCAGGGGAGAGCUUCGCGCGUGGAAGCCAUUUCUCUACAGU